GUUAAGUCUCCUGGCCAGUAAUGCUAACAGAUUCUAAGGCUUUAAAGACUUUAAGGAGGUAUUUGUAUUUAACCUGAGGGUCGUUGAUAUCGUAAAAACACGCCAAGGGACCAGCAGUACAGUCGUCUUCACGUCUGGUAUCUCUACGCUGCCUGGCAUGUUAGGACUUUAUAUUACUCGGGAGAGUUUGUGUUUGAUUCUGUUUGCUCAGUUCAGGGCAGAUGUGCUCGUGCUUUUUCACCCAGCCUCGUGGUAACCUGGGAACGUGUAUAUUCGUAUUUGGACAUCCGUACCACUGCGUCCUUUCUAUCCAUCGAGGAUGAUCCCGUUCACCGGAGGAACGAAAGGCGUUCAGAAUAUUUCACAUUGCGAUAUCGGGACUGGUGAUGAAAUAUGGAAGUGUGAUACGUCUAGCUUUGUGCUUGUACCGGAUGCCAGCCGAAUGAAUCUUUCGGCUGUGUAGCCUAGUCCAGCUUUGUGAUGGACUUUUAAACGGGGUUGAAUGUACGACGCGCGCUCUGUAUAUCACACCUGCCGAAAUAGUGCCGAGGUAUCUGCCAAGGCCUGUGGUGGAUCCGUUUCUUUCACACCGUGGCCGCUUUUCCCCGGCGUCUUCCCGUCGGCGCUUAUCUUUUAAAGUCCCCGCCCGGCGUUAUCGCGCGGCGGGCCGGAGUUCACAGACGGGGACUAUUUUUACAGAGGGGAAAUAACCGACGGUCACGAGGACGACUUAAACGCACGGCGGAAGCCUUUUAACGCGCAGUCCGUCCUUCCUAUUGUGUGUUUUUAACGCGUGGCGUUUUAGUUGCUUAGGAGGAACCGGCGCUUUCUGUCGAGCCACGUCCGACUCCACGACGUUUUGUUUCUUUCCUCAGCCGCCGCGAUCAAUAGUAAUUGGGUCUGCGGCGGCUUAGACGCUCGCCGGACCAGCCGAAGGAGAAAAUGGAGGAUGUUCACGAGGUGCGGAGCGUGACUGCUUCCCUCGCCUCCCCUCUGCAGAUCUCACCGUAUUUAUUCAGCUUUACCUUUCACCAAAAGAUUCUUCCUCCCUCCUCUUACCCCCAUCCCCCCUGACCCCCCCCCCCCCCCCCCCACCCCCCACCUUCCUUCUGUCUCUGUCAUGCACCGAGGACUGGAGUGGGUAGAAGAAAAACAUCAAAUAAAAGUAAUCCCUUUGGGAGCUGAACCGCAGGUAUUCUUCGCCAUAUUUAACCUGCCAUUUAAUUAUUUAUUUAUUUUUGUGCUAAUAAAAGCGGCCACGUUCAAACGAGACCUGCGUCCAGGCGCAUUAAGGAAAUCUGGCUCGUAGAAACGCGUCUGUUCAGAUCGCAGGCCGUCUUAAUGGGAUCUCAUGAAGUGUUGAGAAGAAGCGAGGAAGGGUGCUACGCGAGAGCGUAGUCCGGAACGGUUCCAAAUACACGGCUAGAGUAAAGAGGACGGGGACGUGGACUCUUUACUCUUUACUCAGUCUAGCCGUGUGUUUCGAAGACGGCCGUUCCAGGUGAGACGAAGUUGUAAGCGGACGUCAGAAGUCUGACUUAACGAGCACAGUUGGACGGAAGGCUCGUCGGCGUUUGAACCAUGAAGUUCACGGCGCCUCCGAGCGCCGGCGCGCCGUCGUCCUGGUUCAUCUAGUUCAUCGACGUCUGGUUUCAUUUCAGUGGAAACACGAUUCAGCCCCGUGUCAUUCCCAAACGCGGGACGUGCAGCGACCUCUCCGUGUGUGUCUGCGUCCCGGAUCGCUGCAGAAACUCCGACGUGCGCCUGAUAUCUGGGCCACAAACAAACAAAUAAAUAAAUAAAUAAAGCGAAACAUUAAUGAAUGAAUGCUGGAUUCAGUUCACAAAGGAACAGGUUUUUCCACAGGAUUUAUUCGCGUUAAUAUUUAAUAAGGCGUUUAUUGUUUAGCACCGGCUCCGUGUUCCGUGUGCUUGGUUGCGUUUUCGUGAUUUCCUCACACACUUGCAAGAGGUUUAUUUACAUUUCUUACCAACGUAUUUCAUGACCAACAAAUGAACGACUUUUGUGAGGGCUUUGGAGAAUUCCAGCCCCGCCCCCUUUCCUCACACCGAAAAAAUAUCAUUUGCACUCUUGAUUGAUUGAUUGAUACAAACAAACUAAUAAGUGAGUAAACAUCCAUAAACCAGUCAUAAUAAUCCCGGUGAAGGAGGCGUGGCCUGUGUGCUUUCAGUCCCAGUGGAGGAGGUGUGGCCUCUGCGUUUCAGUCCCAGUGGCGGAGGUGUGGGCCUUUGCGCUUCAGUCCCAGUGGCGGAGGUGUGGCCUUUGCACUUCAGGUACAGUAGCGGAGGUGUGGCCUCUGCGCUUCGGUCCCAGUGGCAUAGGUGUGGCCUCUGCGCUUCAGGCACAGUGGCGGAGGUGUGGCCUCUGCGCUUCAGUCCCAGUGAAGGAGGUGUGGCCUCUGCGCUUCAGUCCCAGUGAAGGAGGUGUGGCCUCUGCGCUUCAGUCCCAGUGAAGGAGGUGUGGCCUCUGCGCUUCAGUCCCAGUGACGGAGGUGUGGCCUCCAGCACUGAAUUAUUUUGUAUUACAUCGAGCCAGCGGUGUUUCAUAUUGAAUCAUUGGCUCUGUAAACGUAUCUUUCCUGCUUCCACGAUCACGCAUCAAGAGGCACGUUGUAAGAACUCUGAUUAAGAGCGCGUACGAUCUGGAGUCGUAAAUGAAACCAUAAACAAAACCCCCUCAUCAUCGUCCACGCACUUCUUCCCAAGUAGUGCUCCCCAUCGGGCAAUUCCUGUAAGGUCAGGUAUGAAACGAGCAGCGAGUUAGAUGGACGUGCAACGUUCUCUCAACGUUCUCUCAACGUUCUCUCAACGUUCUCUCAACGUUCUCGCUUCAGGUGUCGUGACCGGUGCGCACAUUUCAAAUGCACGUUCAAACCUGACUGCCGGAUUCGUGUUCGUGUCUGGAUGCGGUUGUGCACUGUAACUCUAAAGGAAGAGUUUAAAUAAUCAGAGGAUGCCCCCCCCACCCCCCGGUGACCCCUCCCCCCAUGCCGAAUUUGUCUUUUUAGGCCUUUAGGAUUAACCCCUAUUGUCUUUGCUUAUUAAAGAGAGAGAUACAGUUCCUUAAUAAUUCAAGCUUCAUAUUUGCUGAUCUAAUGUGUGUGUGUGUGUGUGUGCGAUUUUUAUUUUUUAAAAUUCUUUCCCUUCUUCCACCCCCUCCCACCUGUUUCAUAUGCAUCCGGUAAUAAUGGGUUCUGAGAGAGAGCCUUGCCGACGGCGACUGCGUUAGCGAGAGGGGAAAAAAGGACAAAUUAAAAUCUUAAAGCGCUAUUAUUUAAUUACCCCAAUGGCUGUGGAUUCGGGGUGUGUGUGUGUGUGUGUCGACAAGGGCAAUAGAGAGGGCAGGAUUAUUCUGGUUUUUCAAUUUGCAGAACCCCCGGCUGCCCCCCUGCCUUAAACACACACGCACACACACACACGCUUGCUCGCUUCACCCCCUUCCUCACCCAACCGCUGGAAGAUAAAAUGGCAUUAUGGUAAAUUCCACUUAAUGACAAAUUUUUAAUUUGGUGAACACAACCUUCCCCCCCCCCCGUGUGUGUGUGUGUGUGCGUGCGCGUGUUUGUGAGGGAAUAUGAAUGAAGACUAAUUACAGCGCGGAUGGGUUCAGGAGAAAGAAAGGCGCGCUCGCUUCUCUCCAGCCGCCGCGAUAAGGGAAAGGAAACGUAGCAGAUUAACGCCGCUGUUUAUCUCCCGCUGUAUAAUAACAAUAAUAACAAUCAUGAAAAUUCGAUCUGCCCCCUCAGCCCCGAUAGGAGAACGCUCCCACCGGAGAGUUUUCAUCAAAAUGAAAUUGAAGUCGCAAGCCAGCGGUUUUUUUAUUAAAACGGUCCUCUCGCUGCGGUUCCGAGAGAGCGGUACACGGCCCGGGUCUUAUCAGCGUCGGGGGUUAUUUUGUGAUUUUUAAAAAUAUCUUUGUAUUUAUUUUUUUUCCUUUUAUGGCUCGUAAACGCGCCUGCGUCAACGUGAAGCAUCUACAGCGCGAUGGUCGUAUAACCUGAGACGAGGGAUCUCGUCGCAGCCGAAACGCCGUCGGCGUCGGACAGAACUUCACCGGGAAGUCUGGGACGUUUAUGAAGGCGGCCAUCUUGGACGAUCGCGUUUCCUCGCGUCGUGUCACGCCAUCGCCGCCACCAGCGUUAUACCGUAGCCGUUCCUUGUAACCUCGUAACCUCGUUCCUACCCAAAUAUACGAUCAACCCUUUGUUCUGGUUUAUGUAUUAAUCGUUAAUCAUUAGCUCGGCAUGCGCAAAAAGUCUAUGCGUUCCGUGUCCGCCAACUCCCAUGCGACCGAC
ensembl:lncRNA